CCUACGGGAGACAGCAGUGAGGAAUAUUGGUCAAUGGACGAGAGUCUGAACCAGCCAAGUAGCGUGAAGGAUGACUGCCCUAUGGGUUGUAAACUUCUUUUAUAGGGGAAUAAAACGUGGCACGUGUGGGAUUUUGUAUGUACCAUAUGAAUAAGGAUCGGCUAACUCCGUGCCAGCAGCCGCGGUAAUACGGAGGAUGCGAGCGUUAUCCGGAUUUAUUGGGUUUAAAGGGAGCGUAGGUGGGUUGUUAAGUCAGUUGUGAAAGUUUGCGGCUCAACCGUAAAAUUGCAUUUGAAACUGGCAGUCUUGAGUACAGUUGAGGUGGGCGGAAUUCGUGGUGUAGCGG
rnacentral:rRNA from 1 species